rnacentral:lncRNA from 1 species
UCUCUGUCUAUCAUCGCUGCGGAUUCUAUUUACCGUCCAAGACCACCACCUUUAUGGGUAAAGAAUUUAAAAUACACAUAAUAUAUAGGAUAAUUUUUUCUUAAAUACAUUUUGCAAAACCCUAUUCAUGAAUAUUAAAUCUUUAUUUUGAUUAAUAAGAUAUUACAUUGACAGCGUUACUCACACUCUCUUAAAAAAAAUGUACGGCUCGGAUGUAACACAGCGCAAACGAGUCCAGAUUUUAAAGUUUUAAUGAUUGUGAAUAUUUCUUUUUGACCACUACACUGCCUAUAUAAUGUUAGAGAAAGUUACAAACUUUGUAGUAGUUAUCUGACAGCUUUUAAGCUCGAAAUUCGGAUUUGCACGAUGUGGAUGCCGAAACUACGAUGAGAUACUAGCCAGAAGACCACAAUUCUUUUUACAAGCUUUUUACAAAAGCUCGACGUUCGUGUUAUCUUGGCUUCAAAUUGCCCCCGAUCCUGACAUCACGUCAUUUUUAUCAAUAGCGUCACCCGUGGAUAACUCGAGCGUAAGUUAAGCUGGGCAGUUCAGCUCAUCCAGCCUAAUCGAUUAAUCGAUGGCUUGAUGACGCUUUUGAUCAUCGAAGUGCAUGAGAACUUAAUUGUCGUCGCUUCGACGCGGUUGUUGUAAUAGCCACUGCUAUCGAAAAUUGCUGUCUAUGUAGGCAGUAAUGUCUUAGUCUGACUUGUCUCUGCAGUCGUCAUCUGUGACGUAGUUCCUUUAGCAUACGAUUGGCCGUUUCGAAGCGACCAUGCGACCUUCGCGACGAGCGCGCCGCUAGCUACCUGUAGCUAUAAUAAAUAAAAUCUACACCAUCGCGCAUGGAUCAAUACCUACUGUUUCAUUGUUACCUCGAUCUUUUAUUGUGGUUUGUAAUGGAACGUUCUAUGCGUUUGCUGAUCCGUCCACGAUACGGCCCCGAAUACGGACUCAACAGCACGGUGACCCACAGACCCAUGUACAUAAAUCUCUCUGCCGUGCGAUCUUCACCACGGCAAAUCAUCGUCCUUUAAUAAUGAAUUUUUCAAGGACCUUAUGAGGACUGGCAGUAACGUACACCAUCGAUUUCGGGCAAAAAAGGCGUUUUCAACCCCUUGGGAAUUCGUCUAGCGCUGAGAGGUUGGAGUAUGACAUACCUUUGCCCAGGUUUAUAAAACGAUGCACUAUAUUCCGCGCCUGUUACGACAAACAACUCGCCGAACUUUGUUCACAUUUGAAUGCCCCACUCUGUAUUAGAAGGAAUAAACGAGCUAAAAAAAAAGUUAAGGAAUAAACGCGUCCAGACGUUGCCUGGUUUUCUAGUUUAACGACUAGCAAUGACUGCAUAGCAAACGAAUUCGACCUUCUCUUAUUUGUCCAUUUUACAAGCUCAUGCUUCUUAAAAUCAUCUACCGUCGAAUUACCGUAAAUUAGAAACAAGAAGUGUUGCUAGUAUUUACAUAAUAGCUAACUUAAUUCAACAGACUCGACUGUCACGUUACACGAUGAAUCCAGGCGUAGGAUUCAAAGCAUAUAAAUUUUAUGAGAUUGUUUGAAAUGAGUUCCACAGAUAUCAAAGUUUUAUAUGGCCAAAAUUUGUCCAGCUUAAUAGAUCAAGCUAAACAAAAAAUACUCACCGAAAUCUCUUACUGUAAGGUAUAGUGCUGUUAAAGCGGUUAUAUACUAAAGAGCGAACAUUAACAUCGAAGAGUACACUAAAAUUACAAAUUUUACAGCGGAACAUAUUUCCUGAGAAAAUUGACCUUCUAAUAUUAGAUUGAGCAAAAAUGACUGGCUAUUAUUCUACUAAGAUAACUUUAUCAUCACACAACUCACAUAUCAUAGGUGGUAUGAGCCGCGUUAAGUCAGCAUUAAUGUCGUCUGAAAUUGGCUGUAGAUUGGCAGUAAUAAAGUGAUGAAACUCUUGGAACUCUUUUAUCCUGGCUAAAUAUGGAGCAUCUGUAAAGAUUCGCUAUAUUUUUCAACUUUAUUACGAUAUAGACAUGAAUUCUGCUUAAGUUUAUAAAUAAAGUUUUGGUAUUUUUACAAAAGGCUCAAA